rnacentral:misc_RNA from 1 species
UUCACGAAGUUUUUGGAUGCCGAGAUGGACAAGUGGGCGAACGUCGUGAAGGCCGCGAACGUGCCGCAGCAAUAGCAGCCGGUCUCAAGGAUUGCAGAAAGCCCGCUCCGGAUUGUCCGGGGCGNNNNNNNNAGACGCGCGCCGCGCCUAGUGGGUCGGGGUGCCGUCAGGACCGUGCGUCGUGAUGGUCUGGCCCGCGGUGGCCGCGGCCUUCAUCACAUACGGACUUGGUCCGA